AUACUUACCUGGACGGGUCAUUUGGGCGACGAGGAAGGCCCGGGGCCUGGGUUAGUGGACUCCAUUGCACUUAGGAGGGGCACUUGCCUAGCAUCUUCUCAAGUAGGAGGGUAAAUGUCAUAAUUUAUGAUAGAGGGGGUACGCGUUUGUGCGGCCUGUU